rnacentral:misc_RNA from 1 species
UCUCCGUUGGUGAACCAGCGGAGGGAUCAUUAUCGAGUUAUUCAACUCCCAAACCCUAUGUGAACUUACCACUUGUUGCUUCGGCGCGCGCUUCGGCGCCGCCGAGGACACUUAGACUCUUUGUAUUUAUAAGCAUUUCUGAGUGGCCGAAAGGCAAAAUACAAAUGAAUCAAAACUCUCAACAACGGAUCUCUUGGUUCUG